AUUGAACGCUGGCGGAAUGCUUUACACAUGCAAGUCGAACGGUAGAGGGGGCAACCCCUUGAGAGUGGCGAACGGGUGAGUAAUAUAUCGGAACGUGCCCAGUCGUGGGGAUAACGUAGCGAAAGUUACGCUAAUACCGCAUACGAUCUAAGGAUGAAAGCGGGGGAUCGCAAGACCUCGCGCGAUUGGAGCGGCCGAUAUCAGAUUAGGUAGUUGGUGAGGUAAAGGCUCACCAAGCCAACGAUCUGUAGCUGGUCUGAGAGGACAACCAGCCACACUGGAACUGAGACACGGUCCAGACUCCGUACGGGAGGCAGCAGGUAGGGGUAACUUUGGACAAUGGGCGCAAGCCUGAUCCAG
rnacentral:rRNA from 1 species